rnacentral:lncRNA from 1 species
CUGGGGCUGGGGAGGUGGGGACAGAGCCGGGCGCAGUCGGGGGCACAGCCCUGAGGCGGGGCUGAGGGCCAGGCCGCCACGUCCCUGGACCCUGAAAACGGGCUCGGACCCCCGCUGCAGCGUGGACUCCGGUGUGGCCGCGGGGCGUGCAACCCGGACCCUGGCCAGCUCCGUGUCCUCCAGACCUUUACUCAUGUCCCCGCAUCGCCAGGCCGAGCUGCACCUUCGGUCCCCGCCCGCGGCAGCCGAGGAGAGGAGAGCAAGGCCCAGACCGGGGAGGAACCCACACAGCCUCUGUGCUCCAGCCUGCUUGAAAGACAAGGUCUACCUACAACGCAGAGAUGCACACAUUAAGGACAAUGAAACACCCAAGUGUUAGGAACCAGAAUAAUCAGCCCUAAUAGAGGGGAGGCUGAUCAGGGAGGGCCUCCUGGAGGAGGAGGCACAACAUCAGGGUGCACUGUGAUUUCUGGAGACCCAAGGAGUUCUGGUAAAUGACAGGUGAGAAAAAGAAAAUGUAAUAAAAUAUAAUUGAAAACAGAC